GGUCUGUAAGGGUAUCACUCUUGGGUGUGAUUGUCUUCAAAUAUGCCUUCUGGUAGUCCUUAGAAAGCUCAGCAUACUCGGCUGAUCCUUUCUCAGGCAUGAAUCUCCUGCUCUUAGUUGGUCGGUUAAGGAUGUAUCCUCCAUAUGGGUAUUGUCCAAAAUUAACAGCUGCAUGAAGUGCUGAAGCAAUCCAUAUAAGGAUGGUGGAAGCUUCGAUCAACUCCGCACGAGUUUGCAUCUUAAACCACCAUGUGGCACUCUUUAAGUCACCAUGACCCACCUCUACAAGUUCCUUCCAGAAUGCUUGGAGUUCAGCAUCUUGUGCAAUGGCAGCAUCUGAUUUGUAGU
rnacentral:lncRNA from 1 species